rfam:Ovis aries breed Texel chromosome 1, whole genome shotgun sequence.
UCCCUGGUGGCUCAGACAGUAAAAGCCUCUGCCUACAAUGCAGGAGACCCGGGUUCGAUCCCUGGGUUGGGAA